rnacentral:rRNA from 1 species
CCUACGGGUGGCAGCAGUGGGGAAUAUUGCACAAUGGGGGAAACCCUGAUGCAGCGACGCCGCGUGAGUGAAGAAGUAAUUCGUUAUGUAAAGCUCUAUCAGCAGGGAAGUAAAUGACGGUACCUGUGUAAGAAGCCCUGGCUAACUACGUGCCAGCAGCCGCGGUAAUACGUAGGGGGCGGGCGUUAUCCGGAUUUACUGGGCGUAAAGGGAGCGUAGACGGCAGUGCAAGUCUGGAGUGAAAGGCGGGGGCUCAACCCCCGGACUGCUGUGGGAACCGUAGGGCUGGAGUGCAGGGAAGGUAAGUGGAAUUCGUAGUGUAGCGGUGAAAUGCGUAGAUAUUAGGAGGAACCCCAGUGGCGAAGGCGGCUUACUGGACUGUAACUGACGUUGAGGCUCGAAAGCGUGGGGAGCGAACAGGAUUAGAUACCCCGGUAGUC